rnacentral:lncRNA from 1 species
CUUAUGUUCACACGUACAAGAAGCUGUUUGCAUCUGAAGACAGAAGAAGCAACGGUAGUGUGUCUGGCUGUGUCUCCUGCUGUACCUGUGCUUGUGUGUUCUUAGUAAGUGUGACAGUGAGCUGAUUGUGUCAGCUUGAGUAAGAAACGCCCAACUGAACUGGAUCAGCACAGUUCUGGUGUGGCUGAGGGGAUUUACGGAAGAUUUGCUGGGGUUUGCAAGGUGUGAGUGACGGCAGCCGAUGGGCUUGCCGCCUGCAGGGAGGGCUCGGUGCUGUUUCUUCAGAGGAGCCCCAGUCUGCUCCCCAUCUCGGAGGCCAUAUCCUGGCUUCCAGUGCAGACCCCUCAGCCUCCUGUUAGGACCCACAGGGGAUGCCACAGUGGUUCCAGGCCUUCGACCUGAUCCUCCACAUCUCCACGGCACAGGCAGCCCUUUGCCCUUUGCCCUCUUCCACAUUGAUGCCUUGGUGGCCACUGUAGGCCAACCUUGUAAAUCUGUAGAUAUUUGUGUAGCCUGCACCACAUCUAUUUCUGCAGUGGGCACUGACUGAUGCACUAACUCUGGCCGCUGAUGAUACACUAACUUCUGCCCAAAGGGCCGGAGAGUGUACCUUACAAAGGACAAAUGGAGGAAAGGUCAGUUGCAACAGAGUUCAAUUAGAAAUCAGGGGAGGCCAGGCUUCAACCUGAGUGACAGAAAAUUACAAAAGAAUUCUCAAAAUGAUGAAUGUUGAAAUAGUAUCUAUCGAUCAUUAUGUUCACUGUCUGUGAUUAGUACAGUGAAAUGUGUGGUUAUUGAUGACUGAGUGACUAAAACACUGAGCUAUCUUGUGUUACUCAUAAUUGAAUAUGCAGAUUAUUCUUUUAAAAUGCUUUUAACAAACAUAAAGUAAGGGAGAACAUACAGUAGGCCAAGGAGUAUUGUAUUCCAGGGGGAAUGUUAGUAGUCCUUAAUACUUCACACUAAGGGAAAUAGUAAUUUCCCGAAAGAGUUCAGAGUCAUGAGUGGUAGAAACAAGAUUUUAGAACUUAGUUAUGUAACACCUAUAUUUUUCUACCACAGUUUUCUGCCACUUAAAUAUACAUCAAGUUUACCAUACUUUCCUUAUGUGUGGUAUCCUGCUUUAUUUUUUUGGUACCCGAAAUUGAACUCAGUGUUCUGGUGCCUGCCUCACAAGUGCAGGGUCCAAAGUUCGAUCCCUGGUACAAAAAAAAAAUUCAAAUCAAG